UGGAGAGUUUGAUCCUGGCUCAGGACGAACGCUGGCGGCGUGCUUAACACAUGCAAGUCGAGCGGAAAGGCUCCUUCGGGGGUACUCGAGCGGCGAACGGGUGAGUAACACGUGAGUAAUCUGCCCCUGGCUCUGGGAUAACCAUCGGAAACGGUGGCUAAUACCGGAUAUGACCUGCUCCUGCAUGGGUGUGGGUGGAAAGUUUUUUCGGCCAGGGAUGUGCUCGCGGCCUAUCAGCUUGUUGGUGAGGUAAUGGCUCACCAAGGCUUUGACGGGUAGCCGGCCUGAGAGGGUGACCGGUCACACUGGGACUGAGACACGGCCCAGACUCCUACGGGAGGCAGCAGUGGGGAAUAUUG
rnacentral:rRNA from 1 species